GGGGGCACAGCUCAGUGGCAGAGCGCGUGCUUAGCAUGCAUGAGGUCCUGGGUUCAGUCCCCAGUAUUUCCA
rnacentral:tRNA from 1 species